UCGACCUGAACUCAGUCGAGAU
rnacentral:rRNA from 1 species